GAUGAACGCUGGCGGCGUGCCUAAUACAUGCAAGUCGAGCGAACAGACGAGGAGCUUGCUCCUCUGACGUUAGCGGCGGACGGGUGAGUAACACGUGGAUAACCUACCUAUAAGACUGGGAUAACUUCGGGAAACCGGAGCUAAUACCGGAUAAUAUAUUGAACCGCAUGGUUCAAUAGUGAAAGACGGUUUUGCUGUCACUUAUAGAUGGAUCCGCGCCGCAUUAGCUAGUUGGUAAGGUAUCGGCUUACCAAGGCAACGAUGCGUAGCCGACCUGAGAGGGUGAUCGGCCACACUGGAACUGAGACACGGUCCAGACUCCUACGGGAGGCGGCAGUAGGGAAUCUUCCGCAAUGGGCGAAAGCCUGACGGAGCAACGCCGCGUGAGUGAUGAAGGUCUUCGGAUCGUAAAACUCUGUUAUUAGGGAAGAACAAAUGUGUAAGUAACUAUGCACGUCUUGACGGUACCUAAUCAGAAAGCCACGGCUAACUACGUG
rnacentral:rRNA from 1 species